rnacentral:rRNA from 1 species
AGAGUUUGAUCCUGGCUCAGGAUGAACGCUAGCGACAGGCUUAACACAUGCAAGUCGAGGGGCAGCACAGGUAGCAAUACCGGGUGGCGACCGGCGCACGGGUGAGUAACGCGUAUGCAACUUACCUAUCAGAGGGGGAUAACCCGGCGAAAGUCGGACUAAUACCGCAUGAAGCAGGGGCCCCGCAUGGGGAUAUUUGCUAAAGAUUCAUCGCUGAUAGAUAGGCAUGCGUUCCAUUAGGCAGUUGGCGGGGUAACGGCCCACCAAACCGACGAUGGAUAGGGGUUCUGAGAGGAAGGUCCCCCACAUUGGUACUGAGACACGGACCAAACUCCUACGGGAGGCAGCAGUGAGGAAUAUUGGUCAAUGGCCGAGAGGCUGAACCAGCCAAGUCGCGUGAGGGAUGAAGGUUCUAUGGAUCGUAAACCUCUUUUAUAAGGGAAUAAAGUGCGGGACGUGUCCCGUUUUGUAUGUACCUUAUGAAUAAGGAUCGGCUAACUCCGUGCCAGCAGCCGCGGUAAUACGGAGGAUCCGAGCGUUAUCCGGAUUUAUUGGGUUUAAAGGGUGCGUAGGCGGCCUUUUAAGUCAGCGGUGAAAGUCUGUGGCUCAACCAUAGAAUUGCCGUUGAAACUGGGGGGCUUGAGUAUGUUUGAGGCAGGCGGAAUGCGUGGUGUAGCGGUGAAAUGCUUAGAUAUCACGCAGAACCCCGAUUGCGAAGGCAGCCUGCCAAGCCAUGACUGACGCUGAUGCACGAAAGCGUGGGGAUCAAACAGGAUUAGAUACCCUGGUAGUCCACGCAGUAAACGAUGAUCACUAGCUGUUUGCGAUACAGUGUAAGCGGCACAGCGAAAGCGUUAAGUGAUCCACCUGGGGAGUACGCCGGCAACGGUGAAACUCAAAGGAAUUGACGGGGGCCCGCACAAGCGGAGGAACAUGUGGUUUAAUUCGAUGAUACGCGAGGAACCUUACCCGGGUUUGAACGCAUUCGGACCGAGGUGGAAACACCUUUUCUAGCAAUAGCCGUUUGCGAGGUGCUGCAUGGUUGUCGUCAGCUCGUGCCGUGAGGUGUCGGCUUAAGUGCCAUAACGAGCGCAACCCUUGCCACUAGUUACUAACAGGUAAAGCUGAGGACUCUGGUGGGACUGCCAGCGUAAGCUGCGAGGAAGGCGGGGAUGACGUCAAAUCAGCACGGCCCUUACAUCCGGGGCGACACACGUGUUACAAUGGCGUGGACAAAGGGAAGCCACCUGGCGACAGGGAGCGAAUCCCCAAACCACGUCUCAGUUCGGAUCGGAGUCUGCAACCCGACUCCGUGAAGCUGGAUUCGCUAGUAAUCGCGCAUCAGCCAUGGCGCGGUGAAUACGUUCCCGGGCCUUGUACACACCGCCCGUCAAGCCAUGGGAGCCGGGGGUACCUGAAGUCCGUAACCGAAAGGAUCGGCCUAGGGUAAAACUGGUGACUGGGGCUAAGUCGUAACAAGGUAGCCGUACCGGAAGGUGCGGCUG